CGUAACCAAAAGAUGCGCCGUCGCAUGGCAGCCAUGUAGUGUAAAUAAGUGAUCGAUAACAAUUGAGAUUUCAUUUAUGAAACUGAUGCUACGCGAAAUUCGAUUUUUAAUUCUUUUUUUAUUGUGCAAAAAUGUGUCCAACCAAAAAGCUUGCUGUCAAAUGGCACGUGGUGAUUUCUGAAGGCCAGUCCUCUGUGGCACCAGACAACUGGAUAAUUUGGGAAACAUGGGAACUUUUCCAUCCAUAACAAAACCAGGCUUCUCGAGCUGUCAAGAAGGCAAAAUGUCCAGAUAAAAAGUGGACUGUCCACACCAAUGACCGAAUAUCUGAGGGCUACGGUAGUUACGAUGAAGCUCUUAAAGCUGAGAUGCAGAGCGGAGAUUUCUUCACGAACGAUGAAUCAUACAAAACAUUGAUGCCACAGGUUAAUCCUUGCAUAACAAGAAAAAUUAAAAAGACUAUUCAGUUGCCGCCUUCGUCUACCAGUUUGGCAACUACUAAGCCAAAAACAGAGUAAAAAAUAGUCUCAAACCACCAUGUAAUUAUGGAUUAAAAAGAGAUGACUACAGCAAAGAAAAUUUCGUACUGAAAGUUGUAGGUGCUUCUGAAGAUGCAAUGUGCCGUAUAAAACCCAAGGAUAGGAGGUCCAAUGAAAGACGUUCGAGGUCAAGGGAGAAUACUCUAGAGUCAAGCCGAAAGUUAAAGGAAAACUAUCUGGAAUCAAAGGGCAAUCAAUUUUUGACUGUUUAUAGAAACUCAACAAUCAUAAAUA